AGAAGGUUGGGCGUGAGGCCCUUGUUCCAAGUUGGGCGUGAGGCCCUAAAGCCACUUCCACAUCCACCGCAACCCUAUCUCCUCUCGCCUCCCUUUUCUUUUGUGAUUCCAUUCCUCUCUCACGCCAAACCUCUAAUCUCUGUUUCUUUGCAGGUCCUUAAAGUACUCCAUGUCAUUGGGUCUAUUAUCCUUCCAAACCAAUAGCAAGGGGGCCCUGUUGCAACGGAAGAUGAAGCUUGGUUAUCCAAUCAUCAACCCUCGAGAGUGAGAUCAAGGAUCCUCCUCUAG
rnacentral:lncRNA from 1 species